AGAGUUUGAUCAUGGCUCAUGAUGAACGCUGGCGGCGUGCCUAACACAUGCAAGUCGAGCGAGAAGGUUAUGAUGGAUUCUUCGGAUGACAGAUUGACUGGAAAGCGGCGGACGGGUGAGUAACGCGUGAGUAACCUGCCCCAUACACAGGGAUAGCCAUUGGAAACGAUGAUUAAUACCUGAUAACACAUAUUUACCACAUGGUAGAAAUGUCAAAGAUUUAUCGGUAUGGGAUGGACUCGCGUCUGAUUAGCUAGUUGGUAAGGUAACGGCUUACCAAGGCGACGAUCAGUAGCCGACCUGAGAGGGUGAUCGGCCACACUGGAACUGAGACACGGUCCAGACUCCUACGGGAGGCAGCAGUGGGGAAUAUUGCACAAUGGGCGCAAGCCUGAUGCAGCAACGCCGCGUGAACGAAGAAGGCCUUCGGGUCGUAAAGUUCUUUUCUUAGGGAAGAAAAAUGACGGUACCUAAGGAAUAAGCACCGGCUAAAUACGUGCCAGCAGCCGCAGUAAUACGUAUGGUGCAAGCGUUAUCCGGAAUCACUGGGCGUAAAGGGUACGUAGGCGGUUUUGCAAGUCAGAAGUGAAAGGCUACGGCUCAACCGUAGUAAGCUUUUGAAACUGCAAGACUAGAGUGCAGGAGAGGUAAGUGGAAUUCCUAGUGUAGAGGUGAAAUUCGUAGAUAUUAGGAGGAACACC
rnacentral:rRNA from 1 species